GCAUUAGUAGCUCAGGGCUAGAGCACCGGUCUUGUAAGCCGGACGUCGGAGGUUAGACUCCUCCCUACUGCU
rnacentral:tRNA from 1 species